rnacentral:rRNA from 1 species
AGUGAACGCUGGCGGUAGGCCUAACACAUGCAAGUCGAACGGCAGCACAGGAGAGCUUGCUCUCUGGGUGGCGAGUGGCGGACGGGUGAGGAAUACAUCGGAAUCUACUCUGUCGUGGGGGAUAACGUAGGGAAACUUACGCUAAUACCGCAUACGACCUACGGGUGAAAGCAGGGGACCUUCGGGCCUUGCGCGAUUGAAUGAGCCGAUGUCGGAUUAGCUAGUUGGCGGGGUAAAGGCCCACCAAGGCGACGAUCCGUAGCUGGUCUGAUAGGAUGAUCAGCCACACUGGAACUGAGACACGGUCCAGACUCGUACGGGAGGCAGUAGUGGGGAAUAUUGGACAAUGGGCGCAAGCCUGAUCCCGCCAUACCGCGUGGGUGAAGAAGGCCUUCGGGUUGUAAAGCCCUUUUGUUGGGAAAGAAAUCCAGCUGGCUAAUACCCGGUUGGGAUGACGGUACCCAAAGAAUAAGCACCGGCUAACUUCGUGCCAGCCGCCGCCGUAA